GGCUGUAUAGCUUGAGGGUAGAGUACUCCCUAACUAGGGAGCAGAUCCGGGUUUAAGUCCUGGUGCAGUCA